rnacentral:rRNA from 1 species
CCUACGGGUGGCUGCAGCAAGGAAUCUUCCGCAAUGGGCGACAGCCUGACGGAGCAACGCCGCGUGCGGGAUGACGCCCUUCGGGGUGUAAACCGCUUUUCUCUCGGAAGAACACCCCGCGAGGGGUCUGACGGUACGGGAGGAAGAAGGACCGGCUAACUACGUGCCAGCAGCCGCGGUAAUACGUAGGGUCCGAGCGUUGUCCGGAGUUACUGGGCGUAAAGCGCGCGCAGGCGGCGGUGUUGGCCCGGCGUGAAAGCCCCCGGCUCAACCGG